CCUACGGGAGGCAGCAGUGGGGAAUAUUGCACAAUGGGGGAAACCCUGAUGCAGCGACGCCGCGUGAGUGAAGAAGUAUUUCGGUGUGUAAAGCCCUAUUAGCAGGGAAGAAAAUGACGGUCCCUGACUCAGAAGCUCCGGCUACCUACGUUCCAGCAGCCGCGGUAAUACGGAGGGGGCACGCGUUAUCCGGAUUUACUGGGUGGAAAGGGAGCGUAGUCGGUGAUUCAAGUCAGGAGUGAAAGCCCGGGGCUCAACUCCGGGACUGCUUUUGAAACUGUGUGACUUGAGUGCAGGAGAGGUAAGCGGAAUUCCUGGUGUAGCGGUGAAAUGCGGAGAUAUCAGGAAGAACACCAGUGGCGAAGGCGGCGUACUGGACUGUAACUGACGUUGAGGCUCGAAAGCGUGGGGAGCAAACAGGAUUAGAUACCCUAGUAGUC
rnacentral:rRNA from 1 species